ACAUGGAGAUACAAACAUGAAAGAAAAUGGCAGGGAUCUCCUUGGAGUCGAUAGAAAAAAAGCAAACCUAAAGAUUACUCUAUGGUUGUUUGGAAACAUUCUUUGCUAUUAUCUCUUCCUCUGGAAGUAAAUGAAAUUCAUAAGUGUCACCUUUGUAGUACUUGAAGGUAUAGUUUUCAGAGCACAGCAUUGAUAGGUUUUUCAUUAUUACUAGUCUCUUUUUACUUUGAUCUAUUUUUGGAUGGUCUAGAAAUAUUUUUCCUGAGUCCAUCUAACCAAUAUUGAAUAGCCAGACAAAAUCGAAAGGCAUGCCUUGGAAUCUGUAAACUGCCAGAGUUCAUGACGAUGCCUUGCAUUGAGGCAGUGAUCAACAGUCUGUCUGCCUGGGUUGCAUUUAGUUCGCGUAAUUCUUCCUUGAAACAAGCUUCUAUCACUAAUUUUAAAAAUAGGAAAGAGAAAUGCAGCCUUCUGGUAAACAGAAGAUGAAGUCCUCUUCUUUAUAAUUUUGGGCUCUGAGUGUGGAUUGUUUGUGUGUGGGAAAGGAGAAGAGAAAGUAUCCUUCCACUACCUAAGUAUUGACGGGUUUUCACCAAACCAUCAGAAAUAGCUACUGCAUGAUUCAACAGCAUGAAUAGCAAAUAUCUGUAACAUGCCUUGCUGCUCCCCACCCACACCCGCCCUGUGCUUAUAACAAAUAGAUCAUUCUGCUGGUUUCUGCUGAGUCCAGGUGAACUCUUCUCGUGUUCCUCCAGCAGCCACAAAUGCCCUGGAACAUGAAAUCAACUUACUACUGUACUUUCCAUCUUGGAUGCUGAAGUUCUAGGAUAGGAUUGUCAGUAAAAUGCAGGACACCCCAUUAAAUUUAAAUUUCAAAUAAACAAGAAAUAAUUUUUAGCAUAGGUUUUAAUAUAUUCCAAAUAUUGCAUGAGACAUAUUUUUGCCAAAAAGUUAUUUGUUGUUUAUCUGAAAUGUAAACUUAACUGAGUGUAAUGUAUGUUUAUUUGUUACAUCUGGCAACAUUAUUAUGGAGUUCUAGACCUGGUGUGGGGAGCAUGGGGAUAAACCUCAGAAGCCUCCAGAGAGAGAUCAGUGGACUCUAGGAGUGUCGAUCUCAGACUGACCAUCGCUGGGGCCACAUUCAAGCAGCAGCCGUUUGUCCCGAGCCAUUUCCUCCACUGGCCUUAGUUCCUGUAGUGCCCAGAUGGUGAUGAAGUCAGAUGCCAAGGGGAAAGUGACUUUACCCCCAGAGAGAUUUUUAAAUAUUCCCCAACUGCUCUGGUAAGUACUGCGUUUAUUGUAGAAUAUGCAGCCUGAAAAGGAAAAAAAUAAGUCCUGGGUGCUUGGGUUGUAGAGACAUUUCCCAAAUAUUCAAGGUGUUCUGGAAAAAAAAAAAAAAGGUUCUUGGC